rnacentral:rRNA from 1 species
AGAGUUUGAUCCUGGCUCAGGACGAACGCUGGCGGCGUGCUUAACACAUGCAAGUCGAGCGGAAAGGCCCUUCGGGGUACUCGAGCGGCGAACGGGUGAGUAACACGUGAGUAACCUGCCCUAGGCUCUGGGAUAACUGUCGGAAACGAUGGCUAAUACCGGAUAUUCAGCUUCUUCCGCAUGGUGGGGGUUGGAAAGUUUUUCGGCUUGGGAUGGGCUCGCGGCCUAUCAGCUUGUUGGUGGGGUGAUGGCCUACCAAGGCUUCGACGGGUAGCCGGCCUGAGAGGGCGACCGGCCACACUGGGACUGAGACACGGCCCAGACUCCUACGGGAGGCAGCAGUGGGGAAUAUUGCACAAUGGGCGAAAGCCUGAUGCAGCGACGCCGCGUGAGGGAUGACGGCCUUCGGGUUGUAAACCUCUUUCAGCAGGGACGAAGCGUAAGUGACGGUACCUGCAGAAGAAGCGCCGGCCAACUACGUGCCAGCAGCCGCGGUA